UGUAAAGAGGGAUAGGAGAAUUGGAGGGCAAGUUUGGUGCCAGCAGCCGCGGUAAUACCGACUCCAAGAGUGUGUAUGAGAGAUGCUGCAGUUAAAAAGUCCGUAGUCAUAGAAGGGCAAAGAGAGAUGCGAGGUCUCACAGUGCGAUGAUGGAGGAGCCGAUGGGGAACAUAGUAUACCAGGGCGAGAGAUGAAAUGCCAAGACCCCUGGUGGACUGAGCGAGGCGAAGGCGAUGUUCUUGUAGGCAUUCGGUGAUCAAGGACGAAGGCUGGAGUAUCGAAAGUGAUUAGAUACCGCAGUAGUUCCAGCAGUAAAAGAUGCCGACAUGCUCAUUGGACACAGUGGGCAGGGAGAAAUCUUAGAGUUCGGGCUCUGGGGAUAGUAUGCUCGCAAGGGUGAAAAUUAAAGAAAUUGACGGAGCUACACCACAAGGAGUGGAUUGUGCGGCUUAAUUUGACUCAACGCGAGGAAACUUACCAGGGCCAAGUAUUGUGUAGAAACGAGCAAUACAGGAGUGGUGCAUGGUCGUUGGAAAUUGAUGGGAUGACUUUGACCUUAAAUGGUUGAAUGAGUGAGAUCUUUUGGACAUGUUCCGCACGGAACAGGAAGGAAAAGGCUAUAACAGAUCCGAGAUGCCCUCAGAUGCCCUGGGCUGCACGCGCAAUACAAUAGCAGGUAGAGAGAGAGACAGGAAGGUGCUCAGAUGGACUAUGUGCUGUAAGGCACAUACGAAAGAGGAAUUCCUAGUAAGU
rnacentral:rRNA from 1 species